UGGGGAAUAUUGGACAAUGGGGGCAACCCUGAUCCAGCAAUGCCGCGUGUGUGAAGAAGGUCUUCGGAUUGUAAAGCACUUUCGACGGGGACGAUGAUGACGGUACCCGUAGAAGAAGCCCCGGCUAACUUCGUGCCAGCAGCCGCGGUAAUACGAAGGGGGCUAGCGUUGCUCGGAAUGACUGGGCGUAAAGGGCGUGUAGGCGGUUUACACAGUCAGAUGUGAAAUCCCCGGGCUUAACCUGGGAGCUGCAUUUGAUACGUGUAGACUAGAGUGUGAGAGAGGGUUGUGGAAUUCCCCAGUGUAGAGGUGAAAUUCGUAGAUA
rnacentral:rRNA from 1 species